UAUAUUUUAGUGUAUGAAGCACAAUAAUUUUUGAUGUUAUUAGGUGUAGUUUAAUUCUAUAAAAUAUAA
rnacentral:tRNA from 1 species